GGGGAAUAUUGCACAAUGGGGGAAACCCUGAUGCAGCGACGCCGCGUGGAGGAAGAAGGUCUUCGGAUUGUAAACUCCUGUUGUUGAGGAAGAUAAUGACGGUACUCAACAAGGAAGUGACGGCUAACUACGUGCCAGCAGCCGCGGUAAAACGUAGGUCACAAGCGUUGUCCGGAAUUACUGGGUGUAAAGGGAGCGCAGGCGGGAAGACAAGUUGGAAGUGAAAUCUAUGGGCUCAACCCAUAAACUGCUUUCAAAACUGUUUUUCUUGAGUAGUGCAGAGGUAGGCGGAAUUCCCGGUGUAGCGGUGGAAUGCGUAGAUAUCGGGAGGAACACCAGUGGCGAAGGCGGCCUACUGGGCACCAACUGACGCUGAGGCUCGAAAGUGUGGGUAGCAAAC
rnacentral:rRNA from 1 species